UCAAUGGUCUACAGCACUGGGAACAAUGUUGGAGGGAAGGAAAAUGAAGCAAACUGGAAUCAUCUGAUAUGCUCCCAAAUUCUAUUGCAGCUUCACUAUGGAAACCCAACCUGUAGUGGGUUCUUCCUUAUAAAUGCUUUUUGAGAGGUUGGCCCAUUGAAGUGUACUGAAUUAUGCCGCAUUAGCCCUGGUCUAGCCACUUUACAACUGGCAGCGAUUUGUUAAACUUUCCAGUUGCCAUCUGACACUUGUGACCCAACUGGUUGAUGACUUGGGGAAAUGAGCUAAGCAGUGAAGUGUACUUCCCUGACAUUUUGGAUGAUAUGGCAGUAUACUGACAGCCAGUGAAGAGUUCAACAUCAACAGAAAAAGGCAGCAGCACAGCAUGCAGCUACCUGGAGGGUGUUGAUUGAAAACUUAGAUUGUCCCUAAAUCAGUGCUGAUUUGACUGAUGCCUCAGCUCUAUCGGAGAAAAG